UUGAACGCUGGCGGCAUGCUUUACACAUGCAAGUCGAACGGUAACAGGCCUUCGGGUGCUGACGAGUGGCGAACGGGUGAGUAAUGCAUCGGAACGUGCCCAAUCGUGGGGGAUAACGUAGCGAAAGUUACGCUAAUACCGCAUACGCCCUGAGGGGGAAAGCAGGGGAUCUUCGGACCUUGUGCGAAUGGAGCGGCCGAUGUCAGAUUAGCUAGUUGGUGGGGUAAAGGCCCACCAAGGCGACGAUCUGUAGCGGGUCUGAGAGGAUGAUCCGCCACACUGGGACUGAGACACGGCCCAGACUCCUACGGGAGGCAGCAGUGGGGAAUUUUGGACAAUGGGCGCAAGCCUGAUCCAGCCAUGCCGCGUGCGGGACGAAGGCCUUCGGGUUGUAAACCGCUUUCAGCCGGAAAGAAAUCGUCAAGGCUAAUAUCCUUGAUGGAUGACGGUACCGGAAGAAGAAGCACCGGCUAACUACGU
rnacentral:rRNA from 1 species